rnacentral:rRNA from 1 species
CGGCGAGGGGAGUGAAAAAGAACCUGAAACCGUGUACGUACAAGCAGUGGGAGCCUCUUUUAUGGGGUGACUGCGUACCUUUUGUAUAAUGGGUCAGCGACUUAUAUUCUGUAGCAAGGUUAACCGAAUAGGGGAGCCGAAGGGAAACCGAGUCUUAACCGGGCGUUAAGUUGCAGGGUAUAGACCCGAAACCCGGUGAUCUAGCCAUGGGCAGGUUGAAGGUUGGGUAACACUAACUGGAGGACCGAACCGACUAAUGUUGAAAAAUUAGCGGAUGACUUGUGGCUGGGGGUGAAAGGCCAAUCAAACCGGGAGAUAGCUGGUUCUCCCCGAAAGCUAUUUAGGUAGCGCCUCGUGAAUUCAUCUCCGGGGGUAGAGCACUGUUUCGGCAAGGGGGUCAUCCCGACUUACCAACCCGAUGCAAACUGCGAAUACCGGAGAAUGUUAUCACGGGAGACACACGGCGGGUGCUAACGUCCGUCGUGAAGAGGGAAACAACCCAGACCGCCAGCUAAGGUCCCAAAGUCAUGGUUAAGUGGGAAACGAUGUGGGAAGGCCCAGACAGCCAGGAUGUUGGCUUAGAAGCAGCCAUCAUUUAAAGAAAGCGUAAUAGCUCACUGGUCGAGUCGGCCUGCGCGGAAGAUGUAACGGGGCUAAACCAUGCACCGAAGCUGCGGCAGCGACACUGUGUGUUGUUGGGUAGGGGAGCGUUCUGUAAGCCUGUGAAGGUGUGCUGUGAGGCAUGCUGGAGGUAUCAGAAGUGCGAAUGCUGACAUAAGUAACGAUAAAGCGGGUGAAAAGCCCGCUCGCCGGAAGACCAAGGGUUCCUGUCCAACGUUAAUCGGGGCAGGGUGAGUCGACCCCUAAGGCGAGGCCGAAAGGCGUAGUCGAUGGGAAACAGGUUAAUAUUCCUGUACUUGGUGUUACUGCGAAGGGGGGACGGAGAAGGCUAUGUUGGCCGGGCGACGGUUGUCCCGGUUUAAGCGUGUAGGCUGGUUUUCCAGGCAAAUCCGGAAAAUCAAGGCUGAGGCGUGAUGACGAGGCACUACGGUGCUGAAGCAACAAAUGCCCUGCUUCCAGGAAAAGCCUCUAAGCAUCAGGUAACAUCAAAUCGUACCCCAAACCGACACAGGUGGUCAGGUAGAGAAUACCAAGGCGCUUGAGAGAACUCGGGUGAAGGAACUAGGCAAAAUGGUGCCGUAACUUCGGGAGAAGGCACGCUGAUAUGUAGGUGAAGUCCCUCGCGGAUGGAGCUGAAAUCAGUCGAAGAUACCAGCUGGCUGCAACUGUUUAUUAAAAACACAGCACUGUGCAAACACGAAAGUGGACGUAUACGGUGUGACGCCUGCCCGGUGCCGGAAGGUUAAUUGAUGGGGUCAGCGCAAGCGAAGCUCUUGAUCGAAGCCCCGGUAAACGGCGGCCGUAACUAUAACGGUCCUAAGGUAGCGAAAUUCCUUGUCGGGUAAGUUCCGACCUGCACGAAUGGCGUAAUGAUGGCCAGGCUGUCUCCACCCGAGACUCAGUGAAAUUGAACUCGCUGUGAAGAUGCAGUGUACCCGCGGCAAGACGGAAAGACCCCGUGAACCUUUACUAUAGCUUGACACUGAACAUUGAGCCUUGAUGUGUAGGAUAGGUGGGAGGCUUUGAAGUGUGGACGCCAGUCUGCAUGGAGCCGACCUUGAAAUACCACCCUUUAAUGUUUGAUGUUCUAACGUGGACCCGUGAUCCGGGUUGCGGACAGUGUCUGGUGGGUAGUUUGACUGGGGCGGUCUCCUCCUAAAGAGUAACGGAGGAGCACGAAGGUUGGCUAAUCCUGGUCGGACAUCAGGAGGUUAGUGCAAUGGCAUAAGCCAGCUUGACUGCGAGCGUGACGGCGCGAGCAGGUGCGAAAGCAGGUCAUAGUGAUCCGGUGGUUCUGAAUGGAAGGGCCAUCGCUCAACGGAUAAAAGGUACUCCGGGGAUAACAGGCUGAUACCGCCCAAGAGUUCAUAUCGACGGCGGUGUUUGGCACCUCGAUGUCGGCUCAUCACAUCCUGGGGCUGAAGUAGGUCCCAAGGGUAUGGCUGUUCGCCAUUUAAAGUGGUACGCGAGCUGGGUUUAGAACGUCGUGAGACAGUUCGGUCCCUAUCUGCCGUGGGCGCUGGAGAACUGAGGGGGGCUGCUCCUAGUACGAGAGGACCGGAGUGGACGCAUCACUGGUGUUCGGGUUGUCAUGCCAAUGGCACUGCCCGGUAGCUAAAUGCGGAAGAGAUAAGUGCUGAAAGCAUCUAAGCACGAAACUUGCCCCGAGAUGAGUUCUCCCUGACCCUUUAAGGGUCCUGAAGGAACGUUGAAGACGACGACGUUGAUAGGCCGGGUGUGUAAGCGCAGCGAUGCGUUGAGCUAACCGGUACUAAUGAACCGUGAGGCUUAACCUUACAACGCCGAAGGUGUUU